CCUACGGGAGGCAGCAGUGGGGAAUCUUGCGCAAUGGGCGAAAGCCUGACGCAGCCAUGCCGCGUGAAUGAUGAAGGUCUUAGGAUUGUAAAAUUCUUUCACCGGGGACGAUAAUGACGGUACCCGGAGAAGAAGCCCCGGCUAACUUCGUGCCAGCAGCCGCGGUAAUACGAAGGGGGCUAGCGUUGCUCGGAAUUACUGGGCGUAAAGGGAGCGUAGGCGGACAUUUAAGUCAGGGGUGAAAUCCCAGAGCUCAACUCUGGAACUGCCUUUGAUACUGGAUGUCUUGAGUGUGAGAGAGGUAUGUGGAACUCCGAGUGUAGAGGUGAAAUUCGUAGAUAUUCGGAAGAACACCAGUGGCGAAGGCGACAUACUGGCUCAUUACUGACGCUGAGGCUCGAAAGCGUGGGGAGCAAACAGGAUUAGAUACCCUGGUAGUCCACGCCGUAAACGAUGAUUGCUAGUUGUCGGGAUGUUUACAUCUCGGUGACGCAGCUACGCAUAGACANCCGCCGUGGGAGGUACGGUCGCGAGAGUAAACUACAAUUAGAAGUUAGUUACGGCGUGAGAGUUGCCGACGGACGACGACGAGGGAGGAGG
rnacentral:rRNA from 1 species